rnacentral:lncRNA from 1 species
AGCAGUACAAAUUGCAUAUGCAAUUGUUAAAAAUGAAAAUUUGGUUGAAGUGAUGAGAAAUCAAAGAAUUUAUGUUGGAAAGAAAAUGAGUACAAUUAAUUUGAAAUAAGAAAAUAGGCAUAUCUAUAAUGAUCAAAAGCUCAAGUAUACAUAAGUUGAGUUUAAGAUAUUUCGUGAAAUCAAGAAGAUCAAAAAGAGAAAAAAAAAAUGUUCCAACAGAAAUAGGGUUACAAUAAUGAAUUUUUAAUAAAUUGUAGUAAGUUGAUAUUUAUUGAAACAAGAGGAGUAAAAUGAAGUUCACCUUAAUAAUAUUAUUUGUUUUUUUUUUGUAAUAAAGGUUUACUUUGAAUUUUAUAAUAUCAACUUGGAAAUUAACUUAUAAUUUUAAAACUUAACGUAAGUACUGGGGAACUUAAAACAUAAAAGUAGUGAACUAAUUAAUUGAAAUAUUUGAACCAAUAAGUGAGAAAGUUUAACCAAAAUAUACGACUAAUCUAAACAAAUAUAAAAUCUAAAAAGUACAAUUGGUAUUUAACCUCAUUUAUUAAAAUCUCACAUAAAUAAUAAGAAUAUUCAAGACAAAACUAGUGAAAUUAUUAGUUGAAACUCAUGUAAUAAUAAGGGAGAAAGUUUAACCCAAAGUAGGGACUCGAGAAAUGAAAUUUACUUGUAAUUUAACCUAAAAUAUUGGUACUUAAUGAAUUUAGUAGGGAUAUUAAAUAUAAAACUCAUGGAUUGAAAAUUUGAAACAUAUAAACCCAUAAUUGAGAAAGACUAACCAAAAUUAGAGACUAAUCCAACCAAAAAUAAAAUCUUAUAAGCAAAUUUAGUUGAAAUGCAUGAACCUGUAUGAGAGAAAAUUUAACUAAAAUCAGGAAAAUUAUCCAACGAGAAAUAAAAUAUAUUUGGGAAUUUAACCCAAAAUAUUAGUAUUUAAAGAUUUUAGUAGGAACACGGAACACUAAACACAAAACAUGAAUUGAAAAGUUGAAACAUAUAAACCUAUACUUGCGAAAGAUUAACCAAAAUUAGGAACCAAUCCAAUCAAAAAUUGAAUUUUACAAAGUAAAAUUGGUAUCCAACCCAAAUUAUUGGAAUCUUAUCUAGAUAGUGGGAAUAUUUAAUACAAAAUCACUGAAACUAUUAGUUGAAAUACAUGAACUUAUAAUGUAGAAAACCAAAAUCAGGAACUAAUUUGAUGAGAAAUGAAAUUUACUUGGAAUUUAACUCAAAAUAUUGAUUUUUAAUGAUUUAAGUUGGAACAAUAAGCACAAAACUAAUGGACUGAAAAGUUGACAUAUAUUAGCCUAUAAUUUAGAAAGUUUAACCAAAAUUUGAUACAAAUCCAACAAAAACUUAAAUGCUACAAAGUAAUUUGUUAUUUAACCUAUAUAGUUAAAAUCUUACCUAGAUAAUGGGAACAAUCAACACAAAACUAGUGAAAUUAUUAGUUGAAACUUGUGUACCAAUAAAAAAGUUUAACCACAAUUAGGAACUCGUCCUACGAGAAUUGAAAUUUACUUGUAAUUUAACCCAAAAUAUUAGUAUGUAACAAAUUUAGUAGGAAUAUUAAGCACAAAAUUAGUGGAUUGAAAAGUUGAAAUAAAUGAACCAAUAAAUGAGAAAGACUAACCAAAAUUAGGGACAUGUGAUAAGUGCAUAUUUUUCAUAUAUUUUGCUAUUAAUUUCUCUAUCUUUUUCUUGUUUUGGUCUUAAAUAUUCUAGUUAUUUUAGUUAAUUUUUAAUUUAGUAAAUUAUAUUUUAUUAUGUUAAUUUUAUGUUAAUUUUUAUAAUUUGUUAUUUUAGGUGCAUUUUGGGAAUAAUUUGUGCUUAAAGGGAUCAAAGCUAGAGAGAGUUGAAGAUUGUUAAUGCUCGCUGCCGUGGUGAUAAAGUCGAAAGGAGAAGAAGAAACAAUUAAAUUGAUUGGCUGAAUUAUUAGCUAAAGGACAUGAGAAAUAUUAGCCAAAUUAAAGAGUGCACGUGAGGGAAGCCAAAGCAAAUUAAAAGGCUUAACCUUUGGCUUAAGAGUUGGAAAAGUCGGUGGGGCCCAUUUGAAGACUAAAUAUAAAAGCCAAACUUUGGUUUUAGAAAGUGGCGGCUUUACUUUUGUUUUUAAUCCUUUUCGUGAGAGGAUUUAGAGCAUUAUAAAAGGAGAGCUGCCAGAGAGCAAAAGAGGAGAAUCGGGAGAAGAGAAGAGCAGCAGUUGCAGGUUUGGAGCAAAACUGAUCCAAUUCAGCAAGAAGAAGAAUUCGGGUAGCAAGAGAAAAAUCAACAGCUGGAAUUAAAUUGAAGAAAAAGGCAGCCGCUUAAAUUAAUCUCCAUGAUUGGUUUUGUCAAUUCUCUUAUUCCUAAUUUAAUUAUGUUAGGCUAAAUUUUUAUUUGGUUGAGGGUGAAUUCAAAACCCUAAACAUGCUAUGCAAUUAAAUUUAAAUUCUAUCAUUUAAUUUAUUUAAUUGAGAUUGUUUAUGUUCUUCUAUAAUUAAUGUUCAUGGUUUAUUCUUGUUUUAUUUGAGUGGCCAAUUAGAUAGGACUUGAAUAAAUAUUAUUGCUAGAUUAAAAUUCUUGAUCCGUAAUUGUCUUGAUAUUUUAAUCAUUAGUAGCAGGUUGGAAUUAAUGAUUUCAAUUGGAGAACAUAACCUAGGUUAAAUAAUCCGAGCUUGUGUGUUUAUUGCCUAGAUCAACCUAAUAUCUUUCUUUGUUUAAUGCUUCCAUUAUCUUAAAUUUAAAGAGCUUAUUUUAAAUUAUUUAAUGGUUAGAGAUUAGGUGAAAAGCUUGUUUUACCUAACGACACACUAAGGAAAGAUUGAGACUAACAGAGCUUAUUGUUGUCUACGGUUGAUAGUUUCAAUAUAAAUUGAUGAUAGAAUUAAUAUAUUAUGUGCAUGUUUGGUGGUGGCGAAUGAUCCUUUAACCAAAGUUUUCAUCAUUAUUAUUUCUUUCUCCUUUAAUUAGAGUUUUUAUUAAAUUCUUGUUCGUAAUUUUAAUUUCUUUAUUUCUUACUAUUUAGUUAAAAAUUCAUAAAUCCCCCUUUUAUUUUUAAUUGGCAUUUUCUUUAGUUAGAUUAAUUUAUAUUAUUAUUACUAUUACUAUUAUUACUAUUAUUACUAUUAUUUUAUUUUAAAUCUUGCUUUGGAGUUAAUAAUAAAUAUAACUAGCAUAGUCUCUGUGGGAUCGAUCCUUACUCGCUCUGUACUAAUUAUUUAUAUUAGUGGUAAGGUUUUAAAUUUGGUGCACCUUAACGACACUACCAACAUGCAAAAUAAACUUGAAACAUCUACCUAUUAAAUUGAUAUUUUAGCCAAAA